AACGAACGCUGGCGGCAUGCCUAACACAUGCAAGUCGAACGAGACCUUCGGGUCUAGUGGCGCACGGGUGCGUAACGCGUGGGAACCUGCCCUUAGGUUCGGAAUAACUCCCCGAAAGGGGUGCUAAUACCGGAUAAUGUCUUCGGACCAAAGAUUUAUCGCCUUUGGAUGGGCCCGCGUUGGAUUAGCUAGUUGGUAGGGUAAAAGCCUACCAAGGCGACGAUCCAUAGCUGGUCUGAGAGGAUGAUCAGCCACACUGGGACUGAGACACGGCCCAGACUCCUACGGGGGGCAGGAGUGGGGAAUAUUGGACGAGGGGCGAAGGCCUGAUCCAGCAAUGCCGCGUGAGUGAUGAAGGCCUUAGGGUUGUAAAGCUCUUUUACCCGGGAUGAUAAUGACAGUACCGGGAGAAUAAGCACCGGCUAACUCCGUG
rnacentral:rRNA from 1 species